CGGUACUCGAGAGGUAGUUUGGUAGUCCUGGCUACAGGUAUGAACGCUGGCGGCGUGCCUAACACAUGCAAGUCGAACGGAGUUACGAUGAAACCUAGUGAUUCGUAACUUAGUGGCGGACGGGUGAGUAACGCGUGGAUAACCUGCCUUGCACUGGGGGAUAACACUUAGAAAUGGGUGCUAAUACCGCAUAAGCGCACGGGAGCCGCAUGGCUCAGUGUGAAAAACUCCGGUGGUGUAAGAUGGAUCCGCGUCUGAUUAGCUGGUUGGCGGGGUAGAAGCCCACCAAGGCGACGAUCAGUAGCCGGCCUGAGAGGGUGAACGGCCACAUUGGGACUGAGACACGGCCCAAACUCCUACGGGAGGCAGCAGUGGGGAAUAUUGCACAAUGGGGGAAACCCUGAUGCAGCAACGCCGCGUGAGUGAAGAAGUCAUCCGUGAUGUAAAGCUCUAUCAGCAGGGAAGAAAAUGACGGUACCUGAGUAAGAAGCCCCGGCUAACUACGUG
rnacentral:rRNA from 1 species